rnacentral:tRNA from 1 species
GCCCUUGAAGUGUUUCACAUGGGUUUGCAAAUCUCAAAACGCAGAUAAUUCCUGCCGGGGCU